rnacentral:misc_RNA from 1 species
AAGUCGUAACAAGGUCUCCGUUGGUGAACCAGCGGAGGGAUCAUUACCGAGUUCCAUCUCGACAACCCUUUGUGAACCAAUACAAUUGUUGCUUCGGCGGCGCGGGACCCCCCGCGCCCGCCGGUAACCUCAGAAUCUCUGUUCGAACCCGACGUUACCUCUGAGUGUUCUAAGCGAACUGUUAAAACUUUCAACAACGGAUCUCUUGGCUCUA